AUCUUUUUGUAGUUCAUAAGUGUGAUGAUUGUGUAGUCGCACUCUUGUGUGAGAUGUACCUUCCUCAAAGCUUGUUACAACAUUGGCACAUUACCUGACUGAUG